ACAAACACUCAGAUGAAGAACCUGCCUGCCUACCUGAGGGAGGUGUGGAAGGAGAUGGGUCUGCCCGAAUGUCCUUCAUUCACUGACCUGAGGACCUCCAUUGUCACUCAUGUAAAAAACAUGCUCCCAAAGGUUGACAGGGAAAGGGUGGCCAACUUCAUGUGCCACAACAUCCAGACGGCAGACAAAUAUUAUGCCAUGAAUUUAAAUCCAACCCAAGCAAAUGAAACCAGGGCACUCUUUGAGGCUGCACUGAAGGGGGAAGAUAACACAGUCGCCGCAGAGAACCAGCCCUCCACCUCAGGAGAAAGAAAGCAGAAGGUGAGAGAGGAUGCCUCCCUCUCCGACGGGAGCACCACCCCUGAAGAGACCAAGGUGAUGUACCAGGAGUCUGGCACGUCCGCCGGUGACUCGGAAGAGGAGGAAGAGGAUGAAGAUGAGGAACAGAUGGCCAGACAACUUCCAGUAAGAUCAGCUAUUCUGACAGGACACAUUUGAUUAUCAAAAUGUACUUGUAAACUAUGUAACAGUCAAGUGUGAAUUCUGAGAUAUAUCUAAUUUCUUGUGUUUGCUCUGUCAGGAGACACCUUCCAAGGUGACCAAUCCUCAGGUGGAGAUGGAACUUACCCCAAAGAGGAAGCGGAGCAUCUGCACACGCCGCAUGGAGGUCGCCAUCAGCCCCAUGCUAGUCUCACCCCUCAAAGUGAGGCUCAAGUCGCCCCCCCACCAGUCCCUCAUUGUCAGAAUUCCUUUGAAGAUCAUGAAAAUAAUGAUGAUUUGUUAUGCACAUUAUGCACAGGCAUUUACAGUAUGCUAAAAUUAAUUUAUCCUAAGAUUACCUUUGUGGGACCAUAAGUGAACUCCGGAAUGCACCAAACCCUAUCCAUGGUAAGAUGGGGAAGAAAUGCAGCACUAUAGAUAUACGGGAUGCUCUAGAGAUAACAGGAAUGACUUACAGUCGCGAAUGAUCAAUGGCUGUGGAGUCCUCCAAUAUGCUGCACUUAGAAUUGAGUUGUAGGCGAUGUUUGGCGCAAAAUAGAAUGUUUACAUUCUAUUGUCAUGGAGAAAUGGAAUGUGUAGAACCUGUUUAAUUGAUUAUGCUUCUAUGUCUUUAUUUCGUUAAACAUUGAACUCUGUAUUAUGUCAUAAUGUGUAUAUGAGGACGUAGGAGCCCGUCCAGAUUCAUGACCCGAUUAUCCAGGUGCAUGUUGCUUAGACCUACUAAUCCAUCCUUGGUUUACAAGUUAAAUACAUUGUUUAUAUAUGCCUAUACAAAUCCAUCGACCACAUCCAUUUAAAGCAAUGAUUGUCAAUUGAAAUUGUGGUUGUUCUGUUCUCCUGUUGUGCGCCUUGAGUGUUUGUCCCCUUAAGCACAUUAUUCCAAUAUUUUUCCGAGCUCUGAAUUGACACAAGGAACACUUUUGAAAAGAUAGUCGGUUAAAAAUAAGAGUAUGAAUGACAAUAAACGUAUGACUUGGAUUGUAUGCGUAAUAGUGUAGUAAACAGUAUCGCUCAGCGCGGGAACUUUUGGUGUUAGGAAAGUUUGCGUUUUUAGCCUCCAUGACACGUAUCACUUCGUUGUCUUGUUGGUAAUAGUAAAAAUGCAUGACAGUCGGCAUUGUAAUGGUCUAACAGGUGUUUUUCAUUUUGCUUCUCACAUUAAACAGACAUUUGAGAACGGAAUUGCUUACAGUUGUACCUAUGAUGCAGAGACACACUAAAGCUGUACAGUGUAGUUUGAAUAAUCAGUUUCAAUUAUUUGCAGAUGAAUUCCCUAUUAUUUACAAAUCGAAAGAUGUACCAUUUGAAAUGAAUGUGGCAGAACAGUUUAGCAUAGAGUUCUUGUGGGUGUCUUCUCCUUCAGUCUUUUUGCCUCCUAGGCCUUGUUUCUCAUUACAUGGGAUUUCCCCAGUGCCAACUUCACACGAGAUGGCCGCUGUCUACUGUCAUGUGGUGCUGAAUGACAGAUAUCGCUAUGCCGAUAUUGCUGCUGUCCAUGGACCUGAAAUGUACAAUGUACGACCGUCCAAACUUGACCCCACACACAAACACACACAUUGAUGCCAAUCUCUCACACACUUUUGAACAUUGCACAACCUGCAACAAAAAACUGAAAGAGCAUUUUAUUCCGUUUGUGUUUGAAUAAAGACCCGAAGAAUUCAAUCAAUGUGUGGAUGUUGAUUGGACAAUGUAUAUGUGCUUUGCAGAAGUCAUUUUUUAAAUUCCCUGUAGCGUGAAUUUUACUGGAGCAUGAUCAGAUUGCUUUGUUUAAACCAGAAUAAAGAUUUGGUCUGAGAAACUAUGCCGAUUAUAGCACGAUAGCUUUAUUUUUAUUUUUAAAUGAGGCAAUGUAUAUAUGACCCCCUUUCAAAGAGUCGCUCAUUUAUCACUUUCUUGCAGAUAUACAGUGCCUUCAGAAAGUGUUAAUACCCCUUAACGUAUUCCUCAUGUUGUUUUCUUACAGCCUGAAUUCCAAAUGGAUUAAAUUAUAGUUUUUUAUCAUCUCACCCAGCUACAGACAACACCCCAUAAUGACAAAGUAAAAACAUGUUUACAUUUUUUUUUCAAAUGUAUUGAAAAUGAAAUACAGAAAUAUUCACAAUACAUGUUAGAAUCACCUUUGGCAGCGAUUAAAGCUGUGAGUCUUUCUGGGUAAGUCUCCAAAAGCUUUGCACCCUUGGAUUGUACCAUAUUUGCAAUAUCACAAUAUAUACAGUACCAGUCAAAAGUCUGGACACACCUACUCAUUUAAGGGUUUUUCUUUAUUUUACAAUUUUUUACAUUUUAGAAAAAUAGUGAAGACAUCAAAACUAUGAAAUAGCACAAUUGGAAUCAUGUAGUAAGCAUUAACUGUUAAACAAAUCAAAAUAUAUUUUACAUUUGAGAAUCUUUGAAGUAGCCAUCCUUUUCCUUGACCACUUUGCACACUCUUGGCAUUCUCUCAAACCUUUUCAUGAGGUAGUCACCAGGAAUGUUUUUCAAUUAACAGGUGUACCUUCUUAAAAGUUCAUUUGUGGAAUUUCUUUCCUUCUUAAAGCGUUUGAGCCAAUAGGUUGUGUUGUGACAAGGUAGGGAUGGUUUACAGAAGAUAUCCCUAUUUGGUAAAAGACCAAGUCCAUAUUAUGCCAAGAACAGCUCAAAUAAGCAAAGAGAAACAAGUCCAUCUUUACUUAAGACAUGAAUGUCAGUCAAAACGGAAAAAUUCAAGAACUUUGAAAGUUUCUUCUAGUGUAGUCCCAAAAACCAUGAAGCGUUUUGAUGUAACUGGCUCUCAUGAGGACUGCCACAGGAAAGGAAGACCCAAAGUUACCUCUGCUGCAGAGGAUAGGUUCAGCAGAGUUCACUGCACCUCAGAUUGGAGUCCAAAUAAAAGCUUCACAGAGUUCAAGAAACACACACAUCUCAACAUGCACUGUUCAUAGGAGACUGCGUGAAUCAGGCCUUCAUGGUUGAAUUGUUCCAUUGAAACCACUACUAAAGGACGGACGCCAAUAAUAAGAAGAGACUUGCAUGGGACAAGAAACACGAGCAAUGGACCUAAGUCUGGUGGAAAUCUGUCCUUUGGUCUGAUGAGUUCAAAUUUGAGAUUUUUUUCCCUUCAAUGUGUGUGUGUAAAGAAUCCAGGGUGUUUAGUUGGGUCUACUCUUCAUUAUAAAACAAUUUGUUGAAUGGUUUAAAAUCCAUCAGAAGCUGCUUCAAUUCAUGGUGGCUCUGAGUAAGUCUCGGGGACAGAGCUUGUUUUGCCAAGGAAAGUGAAAAGGACUGAGGGAAAGUAAACUGGAAAAUACAUGGAAAGGAUCAUGGAAGAACCUCAGAGAACAUUGCAUUUUCAAGAUCAUGUAACAUCAAAAUGCAUUUUAUAUUCCUGCCCUGACAGAAAAACCACAUGUAACCAACUUACAUUUUAUGUGAGCACAAAUUACAUUUUGGUACACAACGUGAUCACAUUUUCACAUUUGUAGUUCACAUAAGAUUACAUUCAAAUAUGUUUUUGGAACACUUCCCGUGUUCACAUGUGAAAUUCAUGUGGUUUUUGCCUAAACGCCCUGCAGUUCCACACUCAAGGUUCUUAAUGAUGCUUUAAAUGCACAUGUAUGAUUGUGCAUGUGUAAUGGGUUGAAAACAAAGUAACUAAAAACAGACACCCAUUUAUUAUAUCCCCCCCCCAUAUUGUUUAUGUAUUUGUCUUAAUGAAUCUAAAUGGUAUUUUCAACAUACUUUAGCGUCAGCAGUCCAUAAGGCCAAUAGAUGGCG
ensembl:lncRNA